AGUCGCGCCUGCGCGCCGCCGCGCGCCGGGCCCACGCGCUUCCCUGCCGAGCCGGCUGGCAGCCGCGCGGCGCGUGCUCCGUCACUCACCCCGCCCGCCACGCGCCCUCCGCGCGCCGCCCGGCGGGCACAGCGAGGCAGAUGAAGUACAUCCUGGUCACGGGCGGGGUGAUCUCGGGCAUCGGCAAGGGGAUCAUCGCCAGCAGCAUCGGCACCAUCCUCAAGUCCUGCGGGCUGCAUGUCACCUCCAUCAAGAUCGACCCCUACAUCAACAUCGAUGCCGGCACCUUCUCCCCGUACGAGCACGGGGAGGUGUUUGUCCUGGACGAUGGAGGGGAAGUGGACCUGGACCUUGGUAACUACGAGCGCUUCCUCGACAUCCGACUCACCAAAGACAACAAUCUGACUACUGGGAAGAUCUACCAGUAUGUCAUCAACAAGGAGAGGAAGGGAGACUAUCUUGGCAAAACUGUCCAAGUUGUUCCCCACAUCACCGAUGCUAUACAAGAAUGGGUAAUGAGGCAGGCACGAAUUCCUGUAGAUGAAGAUGGCAUUGAACCCCAAGUUUGUGUGAUUGAGCUCGGUGGGACGGUAGGCGAUAUUGAAAGCAUGCCUUUCAUUGAAGCUUUCCGUCAGUUCCAGUUCAAAGCCAAAAGAGAGAAUUUUUGUAACAUUCACGUCAGUCUAGUUCCCCAGCCAAGCUCUACAGGAGAGCAGAAGACUAAACCCACCCAAAACAGUGUUCGUGAACUCAGAGGUCUUGGUCUCUCACCAGAUCUGAUUGUUUGUAGGUGCUCCACUCCACUGGAUACCUCAGUAAAAGAAAAGAUUUCCAUGUUCUGUCAUGUUGAACCAGAACAGGUCAUCUGUGUUCAUGAUGUCUCUUCUAUCUACCGGGUUCCUCUGUUGUUAGAGGAGCAGGGAGUUGUUGACUACUUCAGACACAGGCUUGACCUUCCCAUUGAGAGGCAGCCCAGGAGGAUGCUCAUGAAGUGGAAGGAAAUGGCUGACAGGUAUGACCGUCUCCUUGAAACAUGUUCCAUUGCACUUGUUGGCAAAUACACCAAGUUUUCAGAUUCCUACGCAUCUGUUAUUAAAGCACUGGAGCAUUCUGCACUGGCUAUCAACCACAAACUUGACAUUAAGUAUAUUGACUCUGCUGACUUGGAGCCAGAUACUCUGCAGGAAGAACCUGUCCGAUACCAUGAGGCAUGGCAGAAGCUGUGUGGUGCUGAUGGAGUUCUGGUUCCUGGUGGAUUUGGUGUUCGAGGGACAGAAGGCAAAAUUCAAGCUAUUUCUUGGGCAAGAAAACAGAAAAAACCUUUCUUAGGAGUUUGUUUGGGAAUGCAGUUAGCAGUUGUGGAGUUUGCACGCAGUGUUCUUGGUUGGCAAGAUGCUAACUCGACAGAAUUUGAUUCCAAAACUGCUCAUCCAGUGGUCAUAGACAUGCCGGAACAUAACCCCGGGCAAAUGGGUGGGACCAUGAGGCUUGGCAAGAGAAGGACACUCUUCCAAACCAAGAAUUCGGUCAUGAGGAAGCUGUAUGGAGAUCAUGAUUUCUUGGAAGAGAGACAUAGACACAGAUUUGAGGUCAAUCCAGAAUUGAAAAAGUGUUUUGAAGAGCAAGGUUUGAAGUUUGUAGGCCAGGAUGAGGAGGGAGAGCGAAUGGAAGUGGUUGAGUUGGAAGAGCAUCCUUUCUUCGUUGGUGUUCAGUACCACCCUGAAUUCCUCUCUAGACCAAUUAAGCCAUCUCCCCCAUACUUUGGCCUCCUCUUGGCAUCUGCAGGAAGACUCACGCAUUAUCUACAAAAGGGCUGCAGGCUCUCACCCAGGGACACCUACAGCGAUAGAAGUGGCAGCAGCUCACCUGACUUGGAGAUAACGGAGCUGAAGUUUCCAUCAGUAAAUCAUGACUGAUUCCUGGUAACUUUUCAUGACCUCAACCUCUUUCCUUACGGAAAAAAUUCCUUGCCCAGUCUUUCCUCCUGGCAUCUGAAUGUUUCACAUCAGUUGGUAGAAAACUGGCACACCAUGAAAAAUGCACAUGUUCCAGCUGUGCUGAGGGAUGCAGAAUACCUCGUGUCCGUGUAACAGAUGUGGAUCUGUCUUCGCUGAAGAGUCUUCAUUAGAUUGCUCCAGGCAUUCUUACAGCAAUAGCUUGAACACUGUCAGCUUUGGGCUUUCUUAAGUUAUGGUUUUAUAAUUUUCAUUAUGAAAUCCUGUCCCUUUAUUUCCUCAAAUCUGUCCUUUGUUUAUUUUCUGCAUAGAUUCUGUAUUUCUGGAGGAGAGCUCAUCACAGCACAUGCACCUCUUGACUUGCUUCAGUUAGCACCGUCUUGGAGAAAAAGAGCAGAUUUGGGUAUGAGAUUUGAUGUGUAGGGGGGAGUCCAGCCGCGCGCGUCCGGCCUGACACGUGGUAACGCCGGCAGGGGUUCGUACCUUGGACACUGACAGCUGAGUUGUUUCCUCCGGCCUUUCUGCUCCCUCAGCAGUCUUCAUCGCUUACUGGUGAAAUUAUGUGGAUGACACUAGAUUUUGGAGGCUUGCUCAGUUCUUGAGCUGUGCUGUGCUGCAGAGGAUGAGGCUGUUCAGCUUUAUGCAGUCUUUUUUUGUGGGGGGGAGGGGAGGGGGGGCAGGGAAUGCUUUGUUCUUUCUUGUGUUUUUGUUUGUUUUUUGUUUUUUUUUGGUUUUUUUCAGUAGUAUUUAAAAAAGUUUGGCACUGGUAGUCUUGGUGCACUCAUUGCCGGCAAUGAACUUUUAACUGGGAAAAUCUUCCUGGAAUAGAGUUAAUCUGGAACAUGAUCAGCUCUAACUGUGAUAUGUCACUCUGCAGGGAUGCAAUUAACUUGGAUCGACUUGGGGGGGGAAAAAAAAAAAAAAAAAUAGCAAAACUGUCAGGAAAGCCCAUUGUUGCCUGAAUUGAGGCGUAACUGUUAGCCCUUUCUAUGCCAGUGUUUGCUGGUGCUGCUUCUUGGGCUGGGAAAUUUCAACUCCUUGCAUCAAGGGGGAGGUACAGAAAAGGAAGUGAACUACUUCAGCUGCUGCCUUGCCAGCUCCCGCUGUCACCGCCUGGGACUGAGCAGGUCCUGCUGUGCUUUUUCCUCGAUGGGAAGCGGAGCCUUCGCUGCCUCUCACAGGGCGGAGCUGCGUGCGGCCGGGCUGCUUCCCGCCGCGGUGUUACUCGGCUGAGUUCCCAGACAGGCGCUGUCCUACGGUGACGAGCUCAGCUUUGCAGUUCUGGGGUGGGAAAUGCACUUGUGCUUUUCUUUUUUUCCUUUUCCCCUGCCUUUUGCUGCAGUGUAAUCAGCACAGUUUUUGAUCUUUAGUAAUUUAGAAGAAAGGAAGAAAGUGUCUCAGUUGUCUGAAGUGGUGUGUGUUCAGACCUCUUUAGUUCAUUGAAGUUUGGAGAAAGCUGUACGUCUUGAGCCUGGCUGAGUACUAACUGAUGCCAACCUUUAAUUAAACACUGUCCUGUCUCAUCUUCAGUGAUCUUUUCCACAACCGUCUUGCUUUAUUCCUCAAUUAUUUUAAAUAUACUCUGUGAAGCUGCUUUGACCCGGGAAAGCUUUGAGCAUUCUUCAUACGUGCCAAUUGUAACAGUUCUGCAAAAAUGAUCAGCCAAGCGGAGAUGCUCUUUGUACUGAACAGACACUGGCCGUGAAAUGGCUGAUCCUCUAGCAGUGUGAGAUCACUCCUUAUCUGUAGUACAACUUUAUUUGUUUUCUUCUGAAAUGUUUUUGUUUCUGCCAAAACUGUGCAACUGACUCAGUCAUUAAAUGCUUAUUUGUAAUAAAAUAAGUAGCCAAGA